UACGAAGGUGGCAAGCGUUGUUCGGAUUUACUGGGCGUACAGGGAGCGUAGGCGGUUGGGUAAGCCCUCCGUGAAAUCUCCAGGCUUAACCUGGAAAGUGCAGAGGGGACUGCUCGGCUAGAGGAUGGGAGAGGAGCGCGGAAUUCCCGGUGUAGCGGUGAAAUGCGUAGAGAUCGGGAGGAAGGCCGGUGGCGAAGGCGGCGCUCUGGAACAUUUCUGACGAUGAGGCUCGAAAGAGUGGGGAGCAAACAGG
rnacentral:rRNA from 1 species